rfam:Xiphophorus maculatus strain JP 163 A Contig85.19, whole genome shotgun sequence.
UCAGGCUGAGGUAGUAGGUUGUAUAGUUCAGAGUGACACCACAGGAGAUAACUGUACAGCCUCCUAGCUUUCCCUGA